CCAUCAAGUCUCGUUUCAGAGAGAACCAACUCUCGCAAGGUACUACGUGACUGGUUAAAGAAGCGAUAUGCUUCUAAUAGAAGAGGCGGCAAAAUGAUCGAAAGGGAGACGUUGAAGUUAAUUGAUGUUUGUAUGCUGUAGACAAUGAAGUCUGUAAGUAUCCCACGCCUUGUAAUUUAGGAUCUUUUAUUUAUUUCUCAGACUAUUUAUAUCGCUUGCUUUUUGUUUUUGACAAAAACUUUUUGAAUGCCUUUUCUCUGAAAUCGGACAUCGUUUCUAUGAAGAAAAUAUGCUAAUUAGGGACCUGUUUUAUUAGCACCUACUUGACCUGGAAUCUGACUAAGGUUGUAAGUAAUUUUGCGAAGCGGCUGAAGGAGGAGAUAAUUUACUUCCUGUUUAAUCAGAACGGACAAAUAGGUGUGAGGCUGUUUUGUACUUUAAUUUUUUUCAAUAAAACGAGGCGUUGCCAGUUUUGUGUAC